GGAAUAUUGCACAAUGGGCGCAAGCCUGAUGCAGCCAUGCCGCGUGUGUGAAGAAGGCCUUCGGGUUGUAAAGCACUUUCAGUCGUGAGGAAGGUAGUGUAGUUAAUAGCUGCAUUAUUUGACGUUAGCGACAGAAGAAGCACCGGCUAACUCCGUGCCAGCAGCCGCGGUAAUACGGAGGGUGCGAGCGUUAAUCGGAAUUACUGGGCGUAAAGCGCAUGCAGGUGGUUUGUUAAGUCAGAUGUGAAAGCCCGGGGCUCAACCUCGGAAUUGCAUUUGAAACUGGCAGACUAGAGUACUGUAGAGGGGGGUAGAAUUUCAGGUGUAGCGGUGAAAUGCGUAGAGAUCUGAAGGAAUACCGGUGGCGAAGGCGGCCCCCUGGACAGAUACUGACACUCAGAUGCGAAAGCGUGGGGAGCAAACAGGAUUAGAUACCCUGGUAGUCCACGCCGUAAACGAUGUCUACUUGGAGGUUGUGGCCUUGAGCCGUGGCUUUCGGAGCUAACGCGUUAAGUA
rnacentral:rRNA from 1 species